CAGCCCCACAUCAGACCACCCUUCUCUCCUCCAGGUCCAUCUCCCUUCAGCAGCCCCACAUCAGACCACCCUUCAGUCCUCCAGGUCCAUCUCCCUUCAGCAGCCCCACAUCAGACCACCCUUCAGUCCUCCAGGUCCAUCUCCCUUCAGCAGCCCCACAUCAGACCACCCUUCAGUCCUCCAGGUCCAUCUCCCUUCAGCAGCCCCACAUCAGACUACCCUUCUCUCCUCCAGGUCCGUCUCCCUUCAGCAGCCCCACAUCAGACCACCCUUCAGUCCUCCAGGUCCAUCUCCCUUCAGCAGCCCCACAUCAGACCACCCUUCAGUCCUCCAGGUCCAUCUCCCUUCAGCAGCCCCACAUCAGACCACCCUUCAGUCCUCCAGGUCCAUCUCCCUUCAGCAGCCCCACAUCAGACUACCCUUCUCUCCUCCAGGUCCAUCUCCCUUCAGCAGCCCCACAUCAGAC
rnacentral:lncRNA from 1 species